CGUCAAGCCUAAAUACUCCUUGGUGACCGAUAGUGGAUGAGUACCGUGAGGGAAGGGUGAAAAGUACCCCGGGAGGGGAGUGAAAGAGUUCCUGAAACCGGUCGCAUGCAAGCCGUCAGAGCCUGUGUGGUGAUGGCGUGCCUUUUGAAGAAUGAGCCUGCGAGUUAGUGAUGCGUGGCGAGGUUAACCCGUGGUGGGGGAGUCGUAGCGAAAGCGAGUCCGAUAAGGGCGUGAGUCGCGUGUUCUAGACCCGAAGCGGUGUGAUCUAUCCAUGGCCAGGAUGAAGCGUCGGUAAGACGUCGUGGAGGUCCGAACCCACUUCAGUUAAAAAUGGAGGGGAUGAGUUGUGGAUAGGGGUGAAAUGCCAAUCGAACACGGAGAUAGCUGGUUCUCCCCGAAAUAGCUUUAGGGCUAGCCUCG
rnacentral:rRNA from 1 species